rnacentral:lncRNA from 1 species
GCAGAUGUAAGGCCAACUGGACCAAUGGAAACAGCAGCCACAGGUGCCUCCAAGCCUAUACCUGUACCUGAAAGAAUGUCUCGGGGUCAACAAACUGAGGACAGCAACUCAUGUUACCAGGCUGUUCCUGUGCAACAAUGUUCCUAAAAUGGCCAGCCCCUCUUCAGAUCAUUUGCAGGGAUGGGAGAAGACUGCAGAUUGUAGCCACAGCUGUUUAUAAAUGGAGUGUAAUGAAAUCCAAUCUUUCAUUCCGAUGUGUGGGAGCCAAGGGCUGGAACAUGGUGCCCCAGGAGCCUGGGCCAGACUGGGUCAGACCAUGGUCAGCACUAGGAAUGAACUGCCGAGGACUCAUGAAUCCAUUAAUGCUCUCCAUAGAGAAAGAAGAUAGGAGCCACAUGAGUAUGUGCAAAUACCGACCACAGAGAGAAAUCCAUAGCAUUUCCUUUGCUUUUAGAGAAAAAUUUUCUACAAAAAUUUUACCAUUUUUUUUUAAUUUGGGAGAAAAUUUUAAGCCAAGAAAUCCUGUGAUUCCAAUAUGAAGGUUAAAGGGAGCUUUGACUGUAUUUGAGUAGUUAAGCAUA